UGGGGAAUAUUGCGCAAUGGGCGAAAGCCUGACGCAGCAACGCCGCGUGAGUGAUGAAGGCCUUCGGGUCGUAAAGCUCUGUCGGAGGGAACGAAUGCUCUUGAGGUUAACAGCCUCGGGAGGUGACGGUACCCUCAAAGGAAGCACCGGCUAACUCUGUGCCAGCAGCCGCGGUAAUACAGAGGGUGCAAGCGUUGUUCGGAAUCAUUGGGCGUAAAGGGCGUGUAGGCGGUAUGUUAAGUCAUGUGUGAAAUCCCUCGGCUCAACCGGGGAACGACGCAUGAAACUGGCAAGCUAGAGUACCAAAGAGGGUGGUGGAAUUCCCGGUGUAGCGGUGGAAUGCGUAGAUAUCGGGAGGAACACCUGUGGCGAAGGCGGCCACCUGGUUGGAUACUGACGCUGAGACGCGAAAGCGUGGGGAGCAAACAGGAUUAGAUACCCAAGUAGUCCCUGAGCGGGCUGGCAAGGCGCAU
rnacentral:rRNA from 1 species